GAGAGACCUGUUCCCGCUGUGGACCUGCAAAAAUACAAAGCAGAAAAUGGAAGAACUUUACCAGAGGACAAGGCCAAGGUCAUUCUGAAGCAGUUAGCUGACGCUGCAAAGGAACUUGAGGACAAACACAUCUGCGAUCUCUGUACCGCGUCUUCUAUGGUACUCCUGUUCACACCCCUCCCGAGUGGUACAGGAGGAGUUGCUACAGGUGUGGACCCACCACGGUGUGGCAAAUGGGAGUGGUGUUGUAUGAAACACUUCAUGCACGGGACUUUAAUACCGAGAGCUUCCUCACAAAGAAACUGAGCAUCAAAAAGCGUCUGUCCACAAAAUGCCAGAAUUUGUUGGACGCAUGCUUAACUUCCCACCAAUCCCCCUGGGGAGUUUUUCCUCGUCUUCAUAGAGAGCUUGGGCUGGGUCAGGAGCUCCAUCA